rnacentral:rRNA from 1 species
CAAUAGCGUAUAUUAAAGUUGUUGCAGUUAAAAAGCUCGUAGUUGAAUUUCUGGUGGGCGCGCCGGUCUUCCAAGUGUUGUACUGGGCGCAGUCCGCCAUCCUUGUGGAGAGGGCUCGCAUUGAGUUGCGUGUCGGAUCUGCAUCAUUUACUGUGAAAAAAUUAGAGUGUUUAAAGCAGGCUGUCGCUUGAAUACAUUAGCAUGGAAUAAUAAGAUAGGACUUCGGUCUAUUUUGUUGGUUGCGAACCGAGGUAAUGAUUAAUAGGGAUAGUUGGGGGUAUUCAUAUUUAAUUGUCAGAGGUGAAAUUCUUGGAUUUAUGAAAGAUGAACAACGGCGAAAGCAUUUACCAAGGAUGUUUNCAUUAA